UCAAACCUGAGGCAUACCUAAUCGUGGCUUGAAGGCAAUUUAAGUUCUGUGUAUCCAAUUAAUGUGGGAAGUCUAACCAAAUUGUUUUCCUUGUGUGUUUCAUAUUUCACCAGGCCUACCAAUGACCUGAGAUACCCAAUGAAUUCAGAAAAAAUGCACAAUUUAGGAUGGAGACCUAAAGUGCCUUGGAAAGAAGGAAUAAAGAAAACAAUUGAAUGGUACAAGGAAAACUUUCACAACUGGAAGAAUGCUGAGAAAGCUUUGGAGCCCUUUCCUGUGACAGAGCCAUUUGCACAACUUAACGUUCCAUAAGGUGGCUGGCAGCCUGAAGGAGUCUAUUCUACCUCAUACAGCCUCUUCUUCUCCUGCAAUCAAGUGACCACACUGAACUCUUAAUGUAUUCAGGAUAAUGUGAGCCAUGAUGAAUGCAGAGUAAUAGAAAAGAACUUUGGAAGGGUUCAGCACUUUAUAAGUUUAAUCCAUUGAUUUCAGCUUUUGGUGCAAUAUUAUAUCUUCAUUAGGUAUAGAUAAACUUUUUUGAGUAUUUUACAGGGUGAAGAAUUUUAUGUUAAAUUAGUGUAAUGGAUGUCAAAUCUUCCUUAUUCCUUUGGAAUGAGAAGAUGAUUACAAUAUUUGGGAUUCCAGUGAAUGAAUAUGUUCAUUCAUUAACAUACUUAGCUCUGAAGUUUUUCAUCUGCAUUAGUUUUCUUACAAUGUAAUGUGUUUUGUCACUUUGAACAGUUGUCUUCUAUUUCAAAUCAAAGAGAAAAGGUAACUGCUUGCUAGAGAAUAUAAAUUGGUUGAUAAAAGCUAAGUAUGGUACCCAUAUGGUUCACGGUUCUUUAUUGUUGCAGUAUUGUCUUGAGCAGAGGACCAAUUAAACUGUUACCUUCCUAAUGCUCAAUUUCUAAAGGAGUGGAGGUAGAAAAGGUGCCAAGAAAAUAGCUGUUCUUGAUGAAAUUUCUACAAGACUUUCUUAAACUUUGCUUCUCUGUCUUGAAUGUCAUCUGUUUACUAUAUUAUGGCCUUUUACUUCAAUUGUAACGAACUUGAAGUACUGUAACACAGUUAACAUUCCAGUAGCAUAACUUUCUAUAGUAUGAAGAGGAAAAUUGAGGAAAAGUUUUAAAUACUUCAUUUGAAUUGUGGGUUGGCACACCUUUUUCAAUACUGUUUCACUUCUUGUUUUUUUUGCGGCAAAUUUUAAAGAUGUAACAAUAUAUGAGUUUUAAUGUAAAAUUUCAGAAGAAACUUCAGUUCUGGAAAUCUGUCAAUAAAUCUUUGUCAAAUGUGAUUUAUUGCUAUAAGUUACAGUGUAACUGAUUUCACUUAAUUGUGAAUAAACUGAGCUAGUGCGUAGCAGCUGGAAAAA